AAGUCGUAACAAGGUUUCCGUAGGUGAACCUGCGGAAGGAUCAUUAAAGAAUUAGGCUUCGCGGCCAAGUUCUCACCCUUUGUAUACCGAAACCAUGUUGCUUUGGCAUGGCCCCUGGCCAUUUCUUUGGGCCUGCCGCAGCAGGUUGAUUAAAUACCCCUAGAAUCUCUGCUGUCUGAGUACUAUGCAAUAGUUAAAA
rnacentral:misc_RNA from 1 species